rnacentral:rRNA from 1 species
UGGGGAAUAUUGGACAAUGGGCGAAAGCCUGAUCCAGCAAUGCCGCGUGGGUGAAGAAGGUCUUCGGAUCGUAAAGCCCUUUCGACGGGGACGAUGAUGACGGUACCCGUAGAAGAAGCCCCGGCUAACUUCGUGCCAGCAGCCGCGGUAAUACGAAGGGGGCUAGCGUUGCUCGGAAUUACUGGGCGUAAAGGGCGCGUAGGCGGCGGCCCAAGUCAGGCGUGAAAUUCCUGGGCUCAACCUGGGGACUGCGCUUGAUACUGGGUUGCUUGAGGAUGGAAGAGGCUCGUGGAAUUCCAGUGUAGAGGUGAAAUUCGUAGAUAUUGGGAAGAACACCGGUGGCGAAGGCGGCGAGCUGGUCCAUUACUGACGCUGAGGCGCGACAGCGUGGGGAGCAAACAGG